UUAAGUUCAGCGGGUAUCCCUACCUGAUCCGAGGUCAAACUGGAUGAAAAUAACGUUCAUGACCAGCACCGAUCGGGUCAACAGAGUGGUGAUGGAAGCCCAUACACUCAGACACCGUAUCUCGGGGCUGCCACUGCAUUUCAGGCCGUCCACACAGGGACGAUGGCCCAACACACAAGCCGCGCUUGAGGGGUUGCAAU
rnacentral:misc_RNA from 1 species